AGAGCGAACGCUGGCGGCAGGCCUAACACAUGCAAGUCGAGCGCCCGUAGCAAUACGGGAGCGGCAGACGGGAUAGUAACACGUGGGAACGCGCCCUUCGGUUCGGAAUAACUCAGGGAAACUUGAGCUAAUACCGGAUACGCCCUUACGGGGAAAGAUUUAUUGCCGAAGGAACGGCCCGCGUCCGAUUAGCUAGUUGGUGAGGUAAUGGCUCACCAAGGCGACGAUCGGUAGCUGGUCUGAGAGGAUGACCAGCAUCACUGGGACUGAGACACGGCCCAGACUCCUACGGGAGGCAGCAGUGGGGAAUAUGGACAAUGGGCGCAAGCCUGAUCCAGCCAUGCCGCGUGGAUGAUGAAGGCCUUAGGGUUGUAAAGUCCUUUCGGCGGGGAAGAUAAUGACGGUACCCGCAGAAGAAGCCCCGGCUAACUUCGUGCCAGCAGCCGC
rnacentral:rRNA from 1 species